CUCGAAGACGACAAUCUCGUAGGGCUUUUACCAGAAUAGAAGUCUCUGGUGUUUCUGCUCAUGUUUGUUGGCAUCGUCUGAACGCGCCACCACAAACCGUGCACCGCUCGUCGUGCACUGGUGGCCUCCGCGAGGGGUUGAAGUCUUGAACCCUAAGUAGGGAAAACUGUUGAUUCUUACAGAGAGUCGUAGAUACACCUGCGAAGAAGAGGCGAAGUAAAUUUAGGAAGGUCUUGGAAAUUCGAGGGCCACACUGGCUGUGUCAAUGCGGUGGCUUGGAAUUCCAAAGGUUCGUUACUGAUAUCUGGAUCAGAUGAUCAACGGGUAUGGCACAUAUUUUAUGUCAUUUGUAGUUCUGUAGUCUCAUACACUAGAAUGGGAGAUUCUUUUUUGGAAAUAUAUGAGAAAUGAACUUUGACAUAUUUUAGGGUCCAUGAAACUAUUGAAUAUGUUUUUUCAUAUAGAAUGUUCCAUUAUAAAAUUCCCCUGUCUUCUUGAUGGGCUAAAAUGAAGUUUCUUUGUCCAUGAUUAAAUGAGAGACUUUGACAUCUCUGCCACUUAUUGUGCUUGCUUCUAGUUCUCACACAGUUGUGAUUUAUUUUCAAACCAAGUAGAGAGAAUGAUCAAGAAGCAUCAAACUACAGAGAAUAAUUCUUUUGUUUGUCUUACGUCUUGUUUUGCCUGAUAUAAUUUAUAAUUAUUGAGUCAUGACUAGUUUGAAAAGUUCAGUUCUAACUCUCAAAAGGUAGCAAACAGACUGAUAGAGUCAUGGAGCAAAUGAUUCCAGCCUCUCUGUUUUUGGUUUAUACUAACCCUCUUAGACUGCUUUAGCAGCAGAAGGCAUUGAAUUGUUUUUCUGAAAUUUUGCUUGAUA